GAUGAACGCUAGCGGCAGGCUUAACACAUGCAAGUCGAGGGGCAGCAUGAACCGACCUUCGGGAAGGUUUGAUGGCGACCGGCGCAAGGGUGCGUAACGCGUGAGCAACUUGCCCGUUUCAGGGGGAUAACCGGUGGAAACGCCGACUAAUACCCCAUAGUAUUGAGUUUAGGCAUCUUUACUCAAUUAAAGAUUUAUCGGUAACGGAUGGGGAUGCGUGACAUUAGGUAGAUGGCGGGGUAACGGCCCACCAUGCCUACGAUGUCUAGGGGUUCUGAGAGGAAGGUCCCCCACACUGGAACUGAGACACGGUCCAGACUCCUACGGGAGGCAGCAGUGAGGAAUAUUGGUCAAUGGGCGCAAGCCUGAACCAGCCAAGUAGCGUGAAGGAUGACUGCCCUAUGGGUUGUAAACUUCUUUUAUACGGGAACAAACCUUGGUACGUGUACCAAAUUGCGUGUACCGUAUGAAUAAGCAUCGGCUAACUCCGUG
rnacentral:rRNA from 1 species